UCAGGCAAGAUAUCAUUGGUGGACUGC
rnacentral:sRNA from 1 species